rnacentral:rRNA from 1 species
GCCGCCGCGGUAAUACGUAGGUGGCAAGCGUUGUCCGGAUUUACUGGGUGUAAAGGGUGCGCAGGCGGGACUGCAAGUUGGAUGUGAAAUACCGGAGCUCAACUCCGGAACUGCAUCCAAAACUGUAGUUCUUGAGUGGAGUAGAGGUAAGCGGAAUUCCGAGUGUAGCGGUGAAAUGCGUAGAUAUUCGGAGGAACACCAGUGGCGAAGGCGGCUUACUGGGCUCUAACUGACGCUGAGGCACGAAAGUGUGGGUAGCAAACAGGAUUAGAUACCCC